rnacentral:misc_RNA from 1 species
CGUAGACACUGAUAUUGUAUUAAUACUAUAGAAGGUCGUUAAUAACGAUUAAUAAUAAUAAUGGACCUAGGGGAAAAAACUAUCAAGGCACAGGAUAAAAGAAACAAACGCAAGAAAGACUGGGGGCAUUAUGGGGAAUACAUGAGUGCUAAACUUAGGAAGCUUGAUGAGCAGUUUACAGCUGACGUCCAUUCUGCUGCUACAGAAAGUAGAGAGUCAUCAGCCAUCUUCCAAGGACUAGCUAUUUUCAUAAAUGGUUAUACAAUUCCUCCAGCUGAUGACUUAAGAAAGCUAUUUGUUCUUCAUGGAGGAAGGUUUCAGCAGUAUUUUUCACGGUCGUCUGUUACACACAUCAUUGCUACUAAUCUUCCCAACAGCAAGAUCACUGAAAUCAGAGACAAGAAGAUAGUGCGUCCCCAGUGGAUCCUUGACAGUAUUGAACAAGGGCGUUGUUUGCCGAUAGACCAAUAUCUGUUGUACAGUGGUCGACUGGCUUUGCAGAAACGACUGAACUUUUCCAAUGCUGAUCAAUCUGUACAAUCAACUGUUCAGCAUCCAUCAUCCAAGGAAAAGAAAAAUACUGUCUGCUGUAUCGAUUCUGAAAUUCCUACAAUAAAUGUAGAUACAUUAAAUGCUGAAAAACCUUCAAACACUGAAAAUAAACAAAAAUUNGAUUCUGAUGCACCAUUAGAUAUGUCUGUGGAUUUUGCCAAUUCAUCCAUCCUAAUGGACCUUCCCAUGGCUAAUGAUGAUAAGGGUGAUGAUGAUGCUUCAACAAAAGCAAAACGACAUGUGGAUAAUACAGGAAUACCAGUUAUGGACAAAGAAAUAAACACUAGGCAUCUUAAGGCAGGGGAGCCUAAUUUUAUGACUGAGUUUUAUAGUAACUCUAGGCUGCAUCAUCUUUCAACGUGGAGUGCAGAAUUUAAACAGUUUACUAGUGAUCUGAUAAAGGCUAGAAUACGAAAGGGCAUAGUUCCUCAUCAAAAUCCUGGACCAGCAUCUUACGGCAGGGUUAUUAUGCAUGUUGAUAUGGACUGUUUCUUUGUAUCUGUUGGUCUAAGAAACAAACCAAGUCUUCUGGGAAAACCUGUUGCAGUUUGUCAUGCUGGGAAAACUAACACUGGGAAAGAGGUAAUAUCUCCUGGAAAAGAAAUGUCAGCUUCGUUUUUCACCUCCAUGUCUGAAAUAGCAUCUUGUAGUUAUGAAGCCAGAAAAGCUGGAGUUCGCAAUGGUAUGUUCCUUGGUGCUGCUCGCCGGCUCUGCCCUGACAUUAUCUGUAUCCCUUACAACUUCCAAGACUACAGAGAUGUAUCUAAAAAGAUGUUUGAAACACUGGUUCAGUAUUCGCAUGAUAUUGAAGCCGUGAGUUGUGAUGAGGCAUACCUUGAUGUGACACAUAGUUUGGAUGAUCAAACUACGCCACUUGCUCUUGCUCAGAAGAUGCGCAAUGAGAUAAAAGGAAAGACAGGUUGUAAUGUGUCUGUUGGUAUUGGUAACAAUGUGUUGCUGGCAAGGAUGUGCACUAGAAUUGCAAAACCUAAUGGACAAUUCUACUUAUCUGCAGAAGAUGAUGUGUUAGAGUUUGUAGGUAGUCAAAAGGUCACAGAUCUUCCAGGCAUUGGCCGAGCACAAGGUCACAAGUUGAAGUCCCUGGGUAUAGAUUCUUGCGCAGAUCUUCAAAAAUGCAGCCUUCAAUUCCUGCAGCAAACUUUUGGAGAAAAAACAGGAUUUACACUUUAUGGUUUCUGUCGGGGAGAAGACGAUCGGCCUAUAAGGGUGGAAAGAGAGAGGAAAUCAGUUUCCGCUGAAAUAAACUAUGGAAUGCGGUUUACAAAAGAAUCAGAAGCGGAGCAUUUUAUUGAUGAACUAUCUCGAGAAGUACAGAAAAGGUUGAAAGAGUGUGGUGUGAAGGGUCGCUCCAUCACCCUAAAGCUCAAGGUUCGACGUCAGGGAGCCCAAGAACCACUCAAGUUCAUGGGUCAUGGUAUAUGUGACAAUAUUGCACGGUCUGCAGGUCUACAAGUCCCUACUGAUGACUCAAGGUUGAUAUUCAAGAAGUGCCAGUCUCUUUUCCGUCAACUUAGAGUUUCAUCGUCAGAUGUCAGGGGAUUGGGUAUCCAAGUGAGCAAAUUGACACAUUCUGGUGGUGCUGCUCGUACCUUACAUGACUAUGCGCAGACAAUCACUUCAACGGACAAUAAUCGUUUUGAAUGUCAGUCGAGGGAAAAGGAGAAUGAAAAUAAAAUUGUUACGAGCUUGAAACACGACGAAGAUAGUGGCUUACUAAGUGGCAUUUUGAACAGUUCUUCAGAAUCUCCCCCGAACUCGUUUUGUUAUGUAAAGGAACGUCAUGGCGAUUGUUCAUCGCCAACGAGAAGGGAAUCAAUAAUUAACUAUGAAGCACUUGAAAUGGAUUCCCAGAUAUUUCCCCCAUUACCAAGGUUUACUCCUCAACCUCGAUCCACGUCCUCGGCCAAAAGAGAGGUUGAAAGUGUCCAGACUUUUGACGAGGAUCUUUGUCUGCCUUCCUUUUCUCAGCUAGAUGUUAGCGCACUUAAUGCAUUACCUAAAGAUAUGAGGUUGAAAAUCGAAAAGCAUUAUAGUAAAGAUAAAGAGAAGACAGCUAAAGAGCCAGUCGUUACAGAAGAUAACCGAUCGCUACAGAAAUCUCCACAGACAAGUGAAUCAAGCCCUCCUCGUCUUGGUGGAGAAGUAACCUUGUCAGGAGUCAAAAGUGUCAUCAAGGAAUGGGCAAGCACAGAGGCUCCUAUUAAAGAAGAUGUUGAAGUCGUGAGCAGUUACUUGUUAGACCUGAUUAUGAAAAAGAACAUGGAACUACUGCAUCUCCUUAUCAAGUUCUUAAUCAGGUGCAUCAAGAAGACCGAAAACAGUGACUGGCAGUCAGCGUGUGAAGACAUUGUUGAUCGAGUACAGAUGUGUUUUAUUCAACAUUAUGGAGCCCCUUUGGUGUUAUAGAAGAAAGUGUUGUUGUUCCUGUCGUAAUAGUGAAGUGCCUGACCCAAUACUUUAUUACGACAUUUUCUUCGUGUUUGCUGUCUGGGGUGGAAAGCCAGCUUGUCU